AGAGGGGGAGGCAGGUAGCCCAGUGGUUAGAGGGGGAGGCAGGUAGCCUAGUGGUUAGAGGGGGAGGCAGGUAGCCCAGUGGUUAGAGGGGGAGGCAGGUAGCCUAGUGGUUAGAGGGGGAGGCAGGUAGCCCAGUGGUUAGAGGGGGAGGCAGGUAGCCUAGUGGUUAGAGGGGGAGGCAGGUAGCCCAGUGGUUAGAGGGGGAGGCAGGUAGCCUAGUGGUUAGAGGGGGAGGCAGGUAGCCUAGUGGUUAGAGGGGGAGGCAGGUAGCCUAGUGGUUAGAGGGGGAGGCAGGUAGCCUAGUGGUUAGAGGGGGAGGCAGGUAGCCUAGUGGUUAGAGGGGGAGGCAGGUAGCCUAGUGGUUAGAGGGGGAGGCAGGUAGCCUAGUGGUUAGAGGGGGAGGCAGGUAGCCUAGUGGUUAGAGGGGGAGGCAGGUAGCCUAGUGGUUAGAGGGGG